rnacentral:rRNA from 1 species
GACGAACGCUGGCGGCGUGCUUAACACAUGCAAGUCGAACGGAAAGGCCCUGCUUUUGUGGGGUGCUCGAGUGGCGAACGGGUGAGUAACACGUGAGUAACCUGCCCUUGACUUUGGGAUAACUUCAGGAAACUGGGGCUAAUACCGGAUAGGAGCUCCUGCUGCAUGGUGGGGGUUGGAAAGUUUCGGCGGUUGGGGAUGGACUCGCGGCUUAUCAGCUUGUUGGUGGGGUAGUGGCUUACCAAGGCUUUGACGGGUAGACGGCCUGAGAGGGUGACCGGCCACAUUGGGACUGAGAUACGGCCCAGACUCCUACGGGAGGCAGCAGUGGAGAAUAUUGCACAAUGGGCGGAAGCCUGAUGCAGCAACGCCGCGUGCGGGAUGACGGCCUUCGGGUUGUAAUCCGCUUUCGCCUGUGACGAAGCGUGAGUGACGGUAAUGGGUAAAGAAGCACCGGCUAACUACGUG